rnacentral:rRNA from 1 species
UGGAUCCAGACUUUGAUUAUGGCUCAGGACGAACGCUGGCGGCACGCCUAACACAUGCAAGUCGAACGGAGUUUAGAUGCUUGCAUCUGAACUUAGUGGCGGACGGGUGAGUAACACGUGAGCAACCUGCCUUCCAGAGGGGGAUAACGUUUGGGAACGAACGCUAAUACCGCAUAACAUAUUGAAGUCGCAUGGCUUUAAUAUCAAAGGAGCAAUCCGCUGGGAGAUGGGCUCGCGUCCGAUUAGGCAGUUGGCGGGGUAAUGGCCCACCAAACCGACAAUCGGUAGCCGGACUGAGAGGUUGAACGGCCACAUUGGGACUGAGACACGGCCCAGACUCCUACGGGAGGCAGCAGUGGGGGAUAUUGCACAAUGGGGGAAACCCUGAUGCAGCGAUGCCGCGUGAAUGAAGACGGCCUUCGGGUUGUAAAGUUCUGUCGCAGGGGACGAAACUGACGGUACCCUGCAAGAAAGCUCCGGCUAACUACGUGCCAGCAGCCGCGGUAAUACGUAGGGAGCAAGCGUUGUCCGGAAUUACUGGGUGUAAAGGGAGCGUAGGCGGGGAAACAAGUUGAAUGUGAAAUCCAUGGGCUCAACCCAUGGCUGCGUUCAAAACUGUAUCUCUUGAGUGAAGUAGAGGCAGGCGGAAUUCCUAGUGUAGCGGUGAAAUGCGUAGAUAUUAGGAGGAACACCAGUGGCGAAGGCGGCCUGCUGGGCUUUUACUGACGCUGAGGCUCGAAAGCGUGGGUAGCAAACAGGAUUAGAUACCCUGGUAGUCCACGCGGUAAACGAUGAUUACUAGGUGUGGGUGGACUGACCCCAUCCGUGCCGGAGUCAACACAAUAAGUAAUCCACCUGGGGAGUACGGCCGCAAGGUUGCAACUCAAAUGA